GCGCCUGUAGCUCAAUGGAUAGAGCAGUAGCCUUCUAAGCUAUUGGUUGCAGGUUCAAUUCCUGCCAGGCGCACCA
rnacentral:tRNA from 1 species